CUGGUGCUAGCAACUCCCUACCCUCUCUGGCCUCUGGACCUAGCUUGAAGUUCUGGAUUAUUUCCUUCUUCCUUGUACCUCAGCCUGAGCCUUCUGUCACCCAAAGGGCUCCAGCUGGUUUUUCACUCAGGCCUCAUUUUAUCUUCCAAGAUGAAGGAACUAAGACACAGAGAUUGAGACUUGUCUAAAGUAACAUGACCAGUAAGUGCUUGAAUUAAUGGAGGUAGGUAGUGAUGGUUAUGUUCUAAUCUGCCAAGGGCUUUUCCUUGCUGUCAUCUGGUCUGAGUGCUAGGGAUAUAAAUCCAUAUCGCCAAAAUGGUAGGGAACAGGAAAGGUAGUAAGUAGAUGGACUUUGGGACUACACCAGAAAAAAUGGUGCUAUUCUUUUUAAUUUCUUCCUUUUUGUACUUUUGUUUGUUUUCUAACCUGUAAGCAAUGAUAAGCAGAUAUUGUCUUUAGUUGUUAUUGUUAGAUGAAUGAAGUUUUUGUUUUAACUGUAGAUUAUCCCUGAGGAACUAAGGAAGUAGAAAAUCUGGAGAGAAGUCUGUUGGGAUUCUCACAAGGAAAUAGCUAUUGGAUCAACUAAGCAAAGGAGAAAGUUAAUAGUAUGUGGAUAAACCACAUGUGCAUAACUUUUUAGGAUUCUCUUGUGAAGAUUUUUAAAAUCUUGUUUAAAACAUAUUAACACCUUAAUAUAAAAAUCUUAGAGCUUGAGCGUACUUACCCAACUGUGGUUUUCUUUAGAUGAGAAAACUGAGGUCCAGAGAAGUUGAAGCUUUCCCAAGGUCACACAGCAGAGCUGGAACUAAAGCUUGCAUUUCCUGACUUCCAGAUUAGUGUUAUUUUUACUUCAAACUAUUACUUCUUGGUGAGUUAUUGUGGGAAAAAUCCUGUAUUUUGAAGAUGUUUCUACGCAGUAUCGUUUCCUGUUUAAAUUACAGAUAACUUCAAGAGUUUUCAGAAAAAAAGAAAUUGGGACUUUUUUGGUUAAAUCAUGCCAUCUGAACAGAAACAGUUAUUUUGUGAUGAAAAACAAACUACUUUAAAAAAAGUUUAUGAUGUGAAAAAUGAAAUAGUUGAUAGAUCAGUACCUAAACCAAAAAUUUCAGAAAGUAUUCAUUAUGAACUGAAAAAUGUGAAAAUUCAUUUGCCAAAAAUAAAUAUUCCAAAUGAAGUCCUAUUGAAAGAUGAAGUUGACAAAUACAGAAAAUUAUUUCAGAGUAAACAGCAGACUGCAAGAAAAUCUAUCAGUAUAAAGACUAUAAGCUGUAUAGAGGAGUGUACAUUGCUUCAUAAGUCUGAGCGAGCUGAAGAAGAGGGUAUAAACAUGUCUGCAAAAAUACUCAAUUUCAGCUGUUUAAAAUGCUGCGACAACACUCGGUAUAGCCCAAAUGAUUUGCAGAAACACUUUCAAAUGUGGCACCAUGGUGAAUUACCUUCAUAUCCUUGUGAAAUGUGCAGCUUUUCAGCAAAUGACUUUCAGGUAUUUAAACAACACAGACGAACCCAUAGAAGCACUUUAGUAAAAUGUGACAUUUGUAACAAUGAGAGUGUAUAUACUUUACUGAACUUGACAAAGCAUUUCACAUCCACACAUUGUGUUAAUGGUAAUUUUCAAUGUGAAAAGUGUAAAUUCUCCACCCAGGAUGUUGGCACAUUUGUUCAACACAUUCAUAGACAUAACGAAAUUCAUUAUAAGUGUGGUAAAUGUCAUCAUGUAUGUUUUACCAAAGGAGAGCUUCAGAAGCACCUUCAUGUUCAUUCUGGUACUUUUCCCUUCACUUGUCAAUAUUGUAGCUAUGGUGCCACCAAGAGAGAACACCUUGUAAGACAUGUUGUAACUUUGCACAAAGAACAUUUAUAUGCAAAAGAAAAACUGGAAAAAGACAAAUAUGAUAAAAGGAUGGCCAAGACUUCAGCAGGACUUAAGCUAAUACUGAAAAGAUAUAAAAUAGGUGCAUCAAGGAAGACAUUCUGGAAACGUAAGAAAAUUAACAGUGGAAAUGACAGAAGUAUAGAAAAGAACACUCAGGUGCUUAAAAAAAUGAACAAAACACAGAUUAAAUCUGAAGACCAGAGCCAUCUUGUUCAAGAGCAUUUAAGUGAAGAAAAGGAUGAAACACUACACUGUGAGAAUAAUAAUAAAGUCACUGAAUCAGAGUCAGAGAAGCCAACUCUUCUGUCCACCGGGCAAGGGAAAGCAACUUCAGAAAAAGAAAUGACUUUGAUAUCUCAAAGGAAUAAUAUGCUUCAAACAAUGGAUUAUGAGAAAAGUGUAUCUUCUUUGCCAACAACGUCAGAAUUGGUUACAGCAUCAGUGAAUUUGACCACAAAAUUUGAAACAAGAGAUAAUGUUGACUUCUGGGGAAAUCAUCUCACUCACAAUCAUCCCGAGGUAUUAGGUACCACCAUUAAAAGUCCAGAUAAAGUCAACUGUGUUACCAAACCAAAUGCAUACAACAGUGGAGAUAUGCAUAAUUAUUGCAUUAAUUAUGGCAGCUCUGAGUUAACUGUUGAAUCGUCCAACCAAGGAUCAUUACCGUUUCAUAAUUACUCAAAAGUGAAUAAUUCAAAUAAACGUCGUAGGUUUUCAGGAACAGCAGUGUAUGAAAACCCUCAAAGAGAAUCUUCAUCCAGCAAAACAGUUGUCCAGCAACCAAUUAGUGAAUCAUUUUUGUCACUAGUGAGGAAGGAAAGCUCAAAACCAGAUAGCCUGUUAGCAUCUAUUAGCCUUUUAAAUGAUAAAGAUGGAACUUUGAAAGCAAAAUCUGAAAUUGAAGAACAGUAUGUUUUAGAAAAAGGACAAAACAUUGAUGGACAAAACCUGUACAGUAAUGAAAAUCAAAAUUUAGAGUGUACAACUGAAAAAUCUAAAUGGGAUAACUUUUCUAAUGUUGAUUCACCUAUGAUGCCUAGAAUCACAUCAGUUUUCUCUCUCCAGAGCCAACAGGCAUCAGAAUUUCUGCCACCUGAAGUAAACCAAUUGCUUCAGGAUGUAUUGAAAAUAAAACCUGAUGUAAAACAAGAUUCUAGUAACACUCCAGAUAAAGGCCUUCCACUUCAUUGUGACCAGUCAUUUCAAAAACAUGAGGGAGAAAGCAAAAUUGUUGAACCUUCAAAAGAUUGCAAAGUGCAAGGCAUCUUCCCGGCUCCACCUGGCAGUGUGGGUAUUAACGUGCCUGCAAAUGAUUUGAAUUUGAAAUUUGGAAAAGAAAAACAAAUGCCAUCAAUGCCACAAGAUGUGAGAGAUUCAGAGAAGAUACCUAGAAUUUCAGGUUUUGGCACAUUACUUAAGACUCAGUCAGAUGCAAUAAUAACACAGCAGCUUGUAAAAGACAAACUACGAGCCACCACACAAAAUUUAGGUUCUUUUUAUAUGCAGAGUCCACUUUUAAAUUCAGAGCAAAAAAGAACUAUAGUUGUUCAGACUUCAAAAGGACUUUUUGUACCAGUGAACAUUACUAACAAGCCUGGGUUACCGGUUGUUCCAGGAAAUGCACUUCCAUUUGUUAAUUCACAAGGUAUGCCUGCUUCUCUUGUUGUAAACAAGAAACCUGGGAUGAUUUUAACAUUUAAUAAUGGGAAACUUGAAGGUGUUUCCACUGUCAAAACGGAGGGUGCCCAAGCUCAUGGAACUAUGACUAAGGAGCCUUGCAAAACACCUAUUUUGAAGGUAGAACCAAACAAUAAUUGUCUUACACCUGCACUUUGUUCCAGCAUUGGCAGUUGUUUGAGCAUGAAAAGUAACUCAGAAAAUACUUUGCCAUUAAAAGGUCCUUACAUUUUGAAACCAACAAGUUCUGUAAAAGCUGUUUUUAUUCCUAAUAUGCUAUCUGAGCAACAGAACACUAAGUUGAAUAUCUCAGAUUCAGUAAAACAGCACAAGGAGAUUUUUCCAAAACCACCUCUUUAUACCCUCUUGCCUGAUGGCAAACAAGCUGUUUUUUUAAAGUGUGUGAUGCCAAAUAAAACUGAGCUACUUAAGCCCAAAUUAGUCCAAAAUAGUACUUAUCAAAAUAUACAGCCAAAGAAACCUGAAGGAACACCACAAAGAAUAUUGCUGAAAAUUUUUAACCCUGUUUUAAAUGUGACUGCUGCUAAUAAUCUGUCAGUAAGCAACUCUGCGUCCUCAUUGCAAAAAGACAAUGUACCAUCUAAUCACAUUAUAGGAGGAGAGCAGAAAGAGCCAGAAUCUUCUAGAGAUGCCUUACCCUUCUUACUAGAUGACUUAAUGCCAGCAAAUGAAAUUGUGAUAACUUCUUCUGCAACAUGCCCAGAGUCUUCUGAGGAACCAAUAUGUGUCAGUGACUAUUCAGAGGCCAGGGUAUUAAGAUGUAGAACAAAUUGUACAACUGAGAGAAACUUCAGUAGGAAAAAGACUUCCAAAAAAAUUUUUUCGAAAACAAAAACUCGUGGAAGUGAAGACUCGGAAACUGCCUUUGUAUCUAGAAACAGGAACUGUAAACGCAAGUGUAGGGAUAAUUACCAAGAACCUCCAAGAAGAAAAGCAACAUUGCAUAGAAAGUGUAAAGAAAAGGCAAAACCUGAAGAUGUCCGUGAAACAUUUGGAUUUAGCAAACCUAGGCUUUCAAAAGAUUCUGUCAGAACUUUGAGGCUUUUUCCUUUUAGUUCCAAACAGCUUGUGAAAUGUCCUAGGAGAAACCAACCAGUUGUAGUUUUGAAUCAUCCUGAUGCAGAUGCACCAGAAGUAGUAAGUGUGAUGAAAACUAUUGCGAAAUUUAAUGGACAUGUACUUAAGGUUUCAUUGUCAAAAAGAACUAUCAAUGCUUUACUGAAACCAGUUUGCUAUAACCCUCCUAAAACAACUUACGACGAUUUUUCCAAGAGGCACAAAACAUUUAAACCUGUUAGUUCUGUGAAAGAAAGAUUUGUGCUAAAAUUAACACUCAAAAAGACAAGCAAAAACAAUUAUCAAAUUGUGAAGACUACCUCUGAAAAUAUUUUGAAGGCUAAAUUUAACUGUUGGUUUUGUGGUAGAGUAUUUGACAAUCAGGAUACUUGGGCUGGUCAUGGUCAGAGACAUUUAAUGGAAGCUACUCGGGAUUGGAACAUAUUAGAAUAG
rnacentral:lncRNA from 1 species